ACAUUCAACAACUCCACGAACAAGAUCGUAUUAAUAUCCAAUGCUUUUCGAAACUUUCCACAUCGAUAUAGCAAAAUAAUUUAUGUACCUACUCGUGAUCAGUGGUUCUCUCGACUGGACUAUUGAAGCAAACAUGAUUCCAUUUUACAUUACAUGGAUAUUACUUUUCGCCAGCACCGGUUGCAUGAGUCAAAGCGAACCCCCGAAAACCCCUUCAAAUAGCGAUGUUGAUAAUUUGACCCGAAGCGAUACAUACUUGCCAACUAAUGAAAUAAACCAUAUUUGGACUAUUCAUCAAUUCCGAUUCCACGAGAACCUUAAGGCUAUUAUGAUAUCCUCGCCCUACUUACACGCGCCCACAACUGAUAGAUACGAAUGGCGAAUUGAUAUAUACCCCAACGGCGAAGAUAAUAACAAUGUUACGAUUGGUGUGUAUGUAUGUAUAAGCAACCACAGUACAGUUAAUGAGGUAACUG